rnacentral:rRNA from 1 species
AGAGUUUGAUCCUGGCUCAGAUUGAACGCUGGCGGCAGGCCUAACACAUGCAAGUCGAACGGUAACAGGAAGCAGCUUGCUGCUUCGCUGACGAGUGGCGGACGGGUGAGUAAUGUCCGGGAAACUGCCUGAUGGAGGGGGAUAACUACUGGAAACGGUAGCUAAUACCGCAUAACGUCGCAAGACCAAAGAGGGGGACCUUAGGGCCUCUUGCCAUCGGAUGUGCCCAGAUGGGAUUAGCUAGUAGGUGGGGUAACGGCUCACCUAGGCGACGAUCCCUAGCUGGUCUGAGAGGAUGACCAGCCACACUGGAACUGAGACACGGUCCAGACUCCUACGGGAGGCAGCAGUGGGGAAUAUUGCACAAUGGGCGCAAGCCUGAUGCAGCCAUGCCGCGUGUAUGAAGAAGGCCUUCGGGUUGUAAAGUACUUUCAGCGGGGAGGAAGGGAGUAAAGUUAAU